rnacentral:rRNA from 1 species
UACGGGGGGAGCAAGCGUUGUUCGGAUUUACUGGGCGUAAAGAGCGUGUAGGCGGCCAGACAGGUCCGUUGUGAAAACUAGAGGCUUAACCUCUAGACGUCGAUGGAAACCGUCUGGCUAGAGUCCGGAAGAGGAGAAUGGAAUUCCUGGUGUAGCGGUGAAAUGCGCAGAUAUCAGGAAGAACACCCGUGGCUAAGGCGGUUCUCUAGUACGGUACUGACGCUGAGACGCGAAAGCGUGGGGAGCGAACAGG